UACGUAGGGGGCAAGCGUUGUCCGGAUUUAUUGGGCGUAAAGAGCUCGUAGGCGGCUCGGUAAGUCGGAUGUGAAACCUCCAGGCUCAACCUGGAGACGCCAUCUGAUACUGCCGUGGCUUGAGUCCGGUAGAGGAGCAGGGAAUUCCUGGUGUAGCGGUGAAAUGCGCAGAUAUCAGGAGGAACACCGGUGGCGAAGGCGGGUCUCUGGGCCGAUACUGACGCUGAGGAGCGAAAGCGUGGGGAGCGAACAGG
rnacentral:rRNA from 1 species